rnacentral:rRNA from 1 species
CAGGAGCGUAUGUAAAAGUUGUUGCAGUUAAAAAGCUCGUAGUUGAACCUUGGGUUUGGUUGGCCGGUCCGCUUUUUUGCGAGUACUGGAUUCAACCGAGCCUUUCCUUCUGGCUAACCAGUCGUUUCGGCGGCUGGCGAACCAGGAUUUUUACUUUGAGAAAAUUAGAGUGUUCAAAGCAGGCAUUAGCUUGAAUAUAUUAGCAUGGAAUAAUAGAAUAGGACGUUAUGGUUCUAUUUUGUUGGUUUCUAGGACCAUCGUAAUGAUUAAUAGGGACGGUCGGGGGCAUCAGUAUUCAGUUGUCAGAGGUGAAAUUCUUGGAUUUACUGAAGACUAACUACUGCGAAAGCAUUUGCCAAGGACGUUUUCAUUAA